rnacentral:rRNA from 1 species
CCCUUAAAUGUUCUGGGCUGCACGCGUAUUACAAUGUUAAUUUCGACAAGUUUAUUAUAGCCUAUUGAAAUUUAUUUCUUAGGCCAUACCUACUCUAUAAAAGUGUGGGAAAUCUUACAAUAUUUAACGUGACUGGGAUAGACCCUUGUAACUUGGUCUUGAACGAGGAAUUCCUAGUAUGUUCAAUUCAUUAAUUUGAACAGAUUACGUCCCUGCUCUUUGUACACACCGCCCGUCGCUUCUACCGAUGGAAUGAAAAGGUGAAUUUGAAGGACUUGAUUUAGGGUUUUUUUUCUAUGUUGGAAAUUUAUUUAAACCUCUUUGUUUGUAGGAAGAAGAAGUCGUAACA